rnacentral:rRNA from 1 species
GCUGGUAAAAUGUGAUGUACCUAGUAGUAUUAAUCCUUAAUUAAUAUGAGAUUAACUAAGUUAAUUAAAGUUCUAAGUGGAUAUAUGAUUAUGACAAUAUUUAUUUAUGUCUUGACCAAGUCACGUGCCAGCAGUCGCGGUAAUACGUGGAAGAUUAGUGUUAUUCAUUUUUAACAGGUUUAAAGGGUACCUAGACGGUUAAUUAAGCACUAAAAUGUACUAAUUAACUAGAGUUUAAUGUAAGAAAGAUUGAGUACGGUGAGUGUAGAGAUAAAAUUCUAUGAUACCACUUAGGAACUGGUAAAGGCGAAGGCAACUUUUUAUGUAAAAACUGACGUUAAGGGACGAAGGCUCGUAUCAAAUAACAGGAUUAGAUACCCUAGUAUUGUGGGCAGACAAUGAUGAGUGUCAUAUGCAAGAAAGGAAUAUUUUUUGUGUAUAAAUGAAAGUGUAAGCACUCCACCUCAAGAGUAACGUGGCAACAUGGGAACUGAAAUCAUUAGACCGUUUCUGAAACUCGUAGUGAAGUAUGUUGUUUAAUUUGACACCACACAAAUAACCUUACCACAACUUGUAUAACUACACUAUAUAAUAAUGUAGCUACAAGCGUUGCACGGCUGUCUUCAGUCAAUGUUGUGAAACUGUGGUUAGAUCCAUUAAAUUGACGUAAACCCUUACUUUAUUUUAAAUAAAGUAGUUCGCCGCUAUA